ensembl:ncRNA C43C3.8 ncRNA
GUUCUAAAACAAAAGAAAGACCAAGGAAAAGAGGUUCUACCGCCAUGCAUAUUUCAUCGUUGCCUACUUUUUUUUAGCUGGUCGCAAGAAGGAAGAAGAUGGGGAUUAGUUGUGAGAAGUAGGAGGAAUAACGUCAAGGAC